UAGAUAGAAAGAUAGAUGAUUGAUAGAUAGAUGAUAGAUAGAGAGAUAGAUGAUAGAUAGAUGAUAGAUAGAUACAGACAGGCAGAGAGACAGAGACAGAGAGAGACUGAGGGAGACAGUACACAUUUAGUGUGAGCAGAAAUUGUAGUUAAUCUGAAGAUUCAUUUUGGGUAGACUCUUUUCUCUGGUGAUAUGUUUUCUUCUGAUGAUAUGUUUGUCCAGAGAUACUUUCAAGCCUUCUGCCCUUCAAUUUAAAUGGUUUGGAGCCUGUCACUGCACUGAGAGGACAGAAUUACUAUUGGUUAUAACAGCAUCAACAGAUCUGACCACACAUCGCUUCUGUUAAGCCGUAUAAUUUAAUGUAACACUUAAGAAGGAAAUUUUGCUAUUACUGACUUUUCAUGAAAAUUGUCCAGUGACGGUGUAAAGCAGAAGAGCAGCUACGGGAGAGAGAUGAAAGAUGAUUUUCUAUCCAUUGCUAAAUACUGGAACCAAAGGAUGAGUAUACAGGGAAAUCGUUGCCUCACCUCUCCUUUUACAACCACUUGAAUAUUUUUAUAGUAAAUGCGUGUUUGGUCCUUGUGCAUGGCGUCAUUGUUUAAAUUUAUUAUCAUCACUCAAGAUAAAUGGAAAGCUAAUUUAAUAUCAUAAUUAGAAUUUAAGCUUUUCACGUUGACUUACGGCCUGAAACUGAUAUUUAACCAAAUCUCCUGGUAAUCAUAUAGAACUAAAAAUCAAAAAUGUUCUACCCAAUGCUAUGCCUUCUGGCAUCGUUCACAGUCUUCCUGGCAUCUCACAGAGCAUCAAAGAAAACUGUUAGUCCAUGUCCAGUGUACAAAUCUGACUAUAUUUCUAUGAGCUAAGAGGUUAUUUUUUCACCUAUGUUAAGCAAGUGAAGUCAUCCCAUCCUUGGGAUGUUAGUAAUGGAUUCCAAGGCUGCUAUGUGAUGUCACUGGCUGCAGAGGAGAGGGAAGUACUGUGGGAGAGAUCGCAUAGCACCUUGUGUGUCAUGUGUUGCAUUUUAACUAACUAUUCUAGCCUGGAACUGCUGGGGAGGAAAAGGACAAAACUGA
rnacentral:lncRNA from 1 species